UACGAAGGGGGGCUAGCGUUACUCGGAUUGACUGGGCGUAAAGGGCGCGUAGGCGGCUUGUACAGUCAGACGUGAAAUUCCUGGGCUCAACCUGGGGGCUGCGUUUGAUACGUAUGGGCUUGAGUUCGGAAGAGGGUCGUGGAAUUCCCAGUGUAGAGGUGAAAUUCGUAGAUAUUGGGAAGAACACCGGUGGCGAAGGCGGCGACCUGGUCCGAUACUGACGCUGAGGCGCGAAAGCGUGGGGAGCAAACAGG
rnacentral:rRNA from 1 species